UUUUAACAAAAUUAAGCAGACGCGCAUUUAAUCCAGAGCAACGGUUGGCCAUAACACUAAGAUAUUUAGCGUCAGGAGAUCAAAUAUUAUCUAUCGCGCUGGCUUUCAGAUGUGGAGAAUCAACUGUUCG